GCCGCGGUGGUGGAAUUGGUAGACACGCUGGUCUUAGGAACCAGUGCACUGAGUGCGUGAAGGUUCGAGUCCUUUCCGCGGCA
rnacentral:tRNA from 1 species